rnacentral:lncRNA from 1 species
AUGAUCAGAGAGGUAGAAUUUGCUGUGGGUGAAAAAUCAUUCCAGCUGCAGGGAAGGAAGUUACAUGGUGUUUUUUUUUUUUUUUCUGGCUGGGUGGGCGGUGGCUUGUUUGUUUGUUUGUUUGUUUUUUCUUUUUUUUCCUGGGGGAGGAUGGAUUUGGAAUGGAAAGUGGUAGGGAAAGAGGGGUUUUCCAAGCGCCUAGAAGAAUUGUUUCAUUUUGUCUGGUACAGAGUGCAUUUUUGAGAGACCAACAUUUUAAACAGAGCUCUGCUUUUCCUUGCAAAGGAAAGCUGAAAUAUAAUAGAAGAGACUGAAAAUUAGAAGUGAUCUCUAAUUCAAGGUACAUAACAAAAAUCACACUUUCCUUGCACAUCUCCACAGAACGCUAUGUGUUACAUUUUAUGACAAUCAGUGCAAAUCAAGUACCGCACACCAUGCUGAGCUUGGAAUCAGCAUUCAACAUGCAAUCCUCGGGACAAAAGUAGGUGGUACUGAUGGGGAUGAAAACUGGUUUGGAUGAAAACUACAAAAAGUAGGAAAAAUAGAUCUCCUAACAACAAAAUCACACCUGGUGUUAAAGCCUAGUCUUUCAUUAAGCAAUGAUUAUUGCCUGCUGUGUAUAAAAAUAGCCAACACAAAUAGCACAGCUUAGCAGUGCUAAUUUAAUAGUUGAAUGUGCUUAUGGGUGUUCAGUGGAGCAGAGCGAAUAAUCCAACAGGAGUAGUAUAUUGAAUGAUUUUAGUCCCUCUUUUCUACUUACAGAAUAACCACAAACAGAUCACAAUUUCCUUGAGUUCAUCUCUUCAAAUAUUUUUUAUUAAUAGUUUUUCCUAGAUACAAUUUACUGAGUUGAUUGAUCAUGAAUAUUCUGAAUUUAAACCAUAAUGCAUAUUUGUGGUUAAUCAGAUAAGUCACAUUUUAUCAUUCUUACAGACUGACUAUGUGAGUAUACAGCAGUUUUCAGGGAGCUCACGGGGCAUAUGUAAAAGAGAGCAAGUGUACAAAAAUACAUGUAAAAAACUAUGAUAUUUCCCAAAAUUAAUUUGCAUUAUUUAUCUUCAGUAUAGGUAAAACAGAAUAUUCACUGCAUGUAUUAACUACAGAACAGACAUGAACUAUAGGUCUUCUUACUUUGCAAUUAAUGAAAUGUAUUUUGCUAUUGCAGGCAUGUACUUAGUGGGUAAUGUGCAUGCUAUUUUUCAUUCACAGGGAAAGGUGAAAUAAGGCACAUGUCCACCGUUUU